rnacentral:rRNA from 1 species
UAGGGAAUCUUCCGCAAUGGGCGAAAGCCUGACGGAGCAACGCCGCGUGAGUGAUGAAGGUCUUCGGAUCGUAAAACUCUGUUAUUAGGGAAGAACAAAUGUGUAAGUAACUAUGCACGUCUUGACGGUACCUAAUCAGAAAGCCACGGCUAACUACGUGCCAGCAGCCGCGGUAAUACGUAGGUGGCAAGCGUUAUCCGGAAUUAUUGGGCGUAAAGCGCGCGUAGGCGGUUUUUUAAGUCUGAUGUGAAAGCCCACGGCUCAACCGUGGAGGGUCAUUGGACACUGGAAAACUUGAGUGCAGAAGAGGAAAGUGGAAUUCCAUGUGUAGCGGUGAAAUGCGCAGAGAUAUGGAGGAACACCAGUGGCGAAGGCGACUUUCUGGUCUGUAACUGACGCUGAUGUGCGAAAGCGUGGGGAUCAAACAGG